GAUGGCUGAUACCGUAGUGGCUGUCCCCAAAGAGAUAAAUCCCAAAGACCUAAAAGAAAAGACCGUGAAGGAGACUGGGAAGAAAGAGAAACAGUAGCGAAGACACGCCAACAAAUAGAACAGAGGAAGAGAAUGGAAAUGAGCACACAGAUGAGAAUGCAGAGGAAGUAGAGGAGGAAGAGGAAGAUGCUGGGGGUGAAGAAUUCAAUCCGCCACAACCUUUCACUGCACAGCAGAUUUAUCAGGGUGCAGAAUGAAGGUACAGGCAAAAGUUCUUGGUGGAUGAUCAAUCCAGAUGGUGGAAAAGGUGGAAAGUCUCCACGAAGACGUGCUGUUUCUAUGGACAAUAGCAACAAAUAUGUAAAAAGCAGGGGAAGAGCAGCAAAAAAAAAGGCAGCUCUGCAAGCUGCACAAGAGGUUAAUGCUGAAAGCCCAUCACAGCACGCAAAAUGGCCUGGUAGCCCAACGUCCCGAAGUAGCGAUGAAUUUGAUGCAUGGACAGACUUUCGUUCUCGUACAAACUCAAAUGCUAGUACUUUGAGUGGGCGUCUUUCUCCUAUAAUAGCCAAUCCUGAACUAGAUCAUGUGCAAGAUGAUGAUGCUGCGCCAUUGUCUCCCAUGCUGUACUCCAGUCCAUCAAGCGUUUCCCCUACUGCAAGUAAACCAUGUUCUGUUGAGCUGCCUAGGUUGACUGACAUGGCUGGAACCAUGAACCUAAAUGAUGGAUUGGCAGAACACCUGAUGGAUGAUUUACUGGAUAAUAUUAGCCUGGGUCCUACUCAGCAGUCAUCACCAGGGGGCCUUGUGCAAAGGAGCUCAAGUUUUACCUAUGGCUCAAAGAGUUCUAGUUUGGGCUCCACAAACAAUUUCAGUAAUUCCAUAUUUGAGCCACCUGCUUUGAAUUCAUUACGUCAGACUCCCAUGCAAACGAUUCAGGAAAACAAGCAAGCUACUUUUUCUUCCAUCUCUCGUUUUGGCAGCCAAACUUUGCAAGAUCUUCUUGCAUCUGAUUCUUUAAGUCACAGUGAUGUCAUGAUGACCCAGACCGAUCCUCUGAUGUCACAGGCGAGCUCAGCAGUGUCUUUACAAAAUUCACAUAGAAAUCUGCUUCACAAUGAUCCAAUGAUGUCAUCCUUCCCCACCCAAUCUAAUGCAGCAAAUCAUAAUCCGCUACAUCGCCAGUCUCCACCUCAGAGUUCUGCACUUAGUGGCGAUAGUGCCUUGUCAAACUCCAUGAAUCAUGUAGCUUUACCAACAGACUCUAACACAAACUCUGGUAAGCAUCAGCUUCAGUCAUCUGCCAAUCAGUCUAUGCAAAUAGGAUUGUCAGACACAUUAUCUGGCCCUCCAUCAUAUCCUGGUAGUAUGAUUCUUCCUGCUAUGGGUCAAGAUAAGUUCCCUAGUGAUCUGGACUUGGAUAUGUUUAAUGGAAGUUUAGACUGUGAUGUGGAAUCCAUCAUUCGCAAUGAACUCAUGGAUGCAGAUGGGUUAGACUUUAACUUUGAUUCUCUUAUAUCCGCCCAGAAUGUUGUGAACCUGAAUGUGGGAACCUUCACUGGUGCUAAACAAACAUCAACACAGAGUUGGGUUCCAGGUUGAAAUUGCCUUAUAAUGGCGGAAGCAGAUUCAGGCUCAGAAUCAACUACUUCACUUUCCAUCUUGACAAGGUUAGUGAACUGAAGACUUUUGCCAAAUCAGGUGUCAAGAUAAUAUGAAUUUGAUUAUAGUAAAUUUAUUCGACAGCUGUAAAUCUGACAUUUCAUCUGCAAAGGCGAUAGUUCUUGGAAUUGCAUAUCAAUACGAAAGAUGUAAACCAGAAGAAUGCGAAGUCAAGUCAAAAUGAAUCCUGAACUGCCUGAAAAGGAAAUUGUUGUAAAGUUUCCCGUGUCCCAUGAUCUUUAACCCUGUAUAAAUUGUUGGUUGAUACGGGUAGGUGCAUACUUUAAGUUUUUAGUAUUUCCUGUCUGAGAUCAGCAUCUGCCCACGGCCUCCAUUGUAUAGCUAUCCUUGAAGUAUUGAUGGAAUGGGACUGAUGAGCAGUGUCAUCAAAGGUAUGAAUAUUGAUGAGGAAAUGAACACAUAUAUACUUACAGAAUAAAACAAGACAAAUUAGCAUCAUCAGAAUGCCAGAAGACUUAUUAUACAGAUGAAGGUUUUUAUCCUUGUUAAUCUGCUAGUCUGCAGUAUUUUAAGUAACUUGAAACUGCAUGAGCUUAAUAGUAUAAGUUGAAGUGUGACUUUGAGCGAACCUUUACAAUUUAUGGCCCUACAUUGUUUGGUCUUUUAUAAUAGUGUCAAGGAACCCAGUUUAGCAGUUGUGUUUCAACAUUACAUUUAACUGGGAAUAAUACUGCUUGUAAAUCUUUGCUUAACUUUACAGACCAAUCUUUUGAACAAAUCUUUAUCUUGAGAGUAAAGUAGUUGGAAGAAAGAGGAGAGACUUUCAUAUGUUUACAAAUUAUCUUGUUCCUAGAAAACAGCCAAAAUUUUCUCUUCUGAAGUAAUCUUUGCAUGAAUUGAGAUCUAAAACGUAUUCACAAGAUUGGAAAAUUUGACCUAUAUACACAUCCAUCAUUGUAGAGAACUUUCUAGGAUGUGCAUCUUUUUAAAGCAAUUUUUAAAAUUUUCUUUCUUACCAUUGACUACAGAUUUAUCUGUUCUAAGGACAAAUCAUAUCAGCAGAUAACAAACUGCCUCCCUUCUGAACAGAGCCCUCAUUGGUCAACUGUAAUGUAGUUUAUUUUCUGUACAUACAUUUACGCUCAAGUUGAUUUGCAUACUGCAUUUCUGUAUUGCAUUUGUACAUUUAUUGAAAGUUUUGUGUAUCUUUGAUCAUGAUUUUGAACAGUUUCUAUAUAAAUACAGACCAGCUCAGAUUACAUCAAUUGAUGCAUAUUUCUUCAAACUUGUGUAAGAUUUUCUCUAUACAAAAGGGUGAUGCACAUUUAUAUUUUAUGGGCAGAGACAAAUCAUCAUUAUGCAUGACUAUUUAGUAGGUAAAUUAGAUUGUCUCAGUUCAUUGCAUGAAAUUCCAGGUUGUCACGCUCAUUGAUGUUAGUGCCCCUGGAGAGCUAGCAGUGAAACAAAACGUGAUGGAAUAUUGUUGUAUAACUUGGCUGUCUCGUUUAAAUGGAUACUAGAUUUUUCAUCAUGCAAUUUACUAUUCUAUUUGUAGAAUGAUAGCAUAUCAAUUAUGGCCACUGAAUUAUUUUCAUCAAAUGUAAAUGAGUUUAAGAUAGUAUAUUCAUUCCAGCUGUUUCUGUUCAGCAUUUUCACUUAAAGUUGUAAUCUUUAAGUAAUUUCUAAAUCAGUAUUUGGAGAUUUCUGCACAAAUCGGUUUUCUUAAAUUUGCAUGGUAGAAUAGCAAUUAAACUGCUUAUGUUCCUGAUAUGCUAUAUUUCGAUCUUACUAAAACUGAAUCAGACACUUAGUGUUAGUUCUCAUCCAGGCUAUAAAAGUUGACAAAUCUCAGGCUAGCGUCUCAGGAUAUGGAGAGAAGGUUCUGCAGGGAUCUACAGUAAUUCACAUUCACACAACUUCUUUAUGAUGCAAGUAUAAUUGUGGAAGUGACAGACCAGUUGAGGGUGUGAAAUAAAAAUAUUUCCACUUUAAACACUUGCAAAAUCAAACUAAUUUUAAAUGUACUUCAUUCUAAUCUGACCUUUUAAAACUCAUGUAUCCAGUUUACUGUUCUGUGCAAGAUUAAAUUUAAUGGCCAAAUUACUACUAUAGCUCGCUGUAACAUGGCUCACAUCAGCUAUCAUCUGCCUCUUGGUUAAAUAUAUUUGGUUUGAGGUACCGUCGAGGAAACUGCAACAGUUCAACUUUCUGAAACAGGCCAUGCAAUACUUUAUUUUUAUGUCCACCCUUCAGUCAAUUCAGCCUGUGUAUGUUAUUCAGAUUUUGUGGUUUUUAGCAUUGGUUAAAACUGUGCUGUGAAUGCCCUAAAUCUUGUUUUUACAAUACAUACUUUGGGUUGCAAGAAGUCUGUAAAACCACUUUAUAUUGAGAAAAGGUAUAUUGUGUAAUGAGACAGUUGAAUAUACUAUCUUCUCCUCUUAUACCCCCAAACCCCAAAAUAAAAUGUUAGUUUUAACAGGAAAAGAAUGGUUCUUUUGAACUGCAGGUUUUUAAUUGCAUAAAUUAUUCGUAUGUAAUGCCCUGUGUAUUUCAUUAAUCUGUGCUCUAAGAGAAGAGUGCGCAUGUAAAAUAAAGCUUGGUAACACUAUUGAA